rnacentral:rRNA from 1 species
GACAGAGGGUGCGAACGUUGCUCGGAAUUACUGGGCGUAAAGCGCGUGUAGGCGGGUUCGUGUGUCAGGUGUGAAAUCCCCGGGCUCAACCCGGGAACUGCAUCUGAAACUGCGAGUCUUGAGUGACGGAGAGGGCAGCGGAAUUCCUGGUGUAGAGGUGAAAUUCGUAGAUAUCAGGAGGAACACCGGUGGCGAAGGCGGCUGCCUGGACGUCUACUGACGCUGAGACGCGAAAGCGUGGGGAGCAAACAGG